UACGGAGGGGGCUAGCGUUGUUCGGAAUUACUGGGCGUAAAGCGCACGUAGGCGGCUUUGCAAGUCAGAGGUGAAAGCCCGGGGCUCAACCCCGGAAUUGCCUUUGAGACUGCAUCGCUAGAAUUGUGGAGAGGUAAGUGGAAUUCCGAGUGUAGAGGUGAAAUUCGUAGAUAUUCGGAAGAACACCAGUGGCGAAGGCGACUUACUGGAAACAUAUUGACGCUGAGGUGCGAAAGCGUGGGGAUCAAACAGG
rnacentral:rRNA from 1 species